GUUGGAAUUUCAAUAUUAAACUCUCAAAAAUUAAUAGAAUGGACAGGAAAGUAGGAUAUACUAGACCUGAAAAGAAUUGUGAACCAAUUCAACAUAAUUAAGACUUAUACAAUUUUCACACAAGAGCAGGAUACAAAUUUUAUUCAAGUUCCCAUAGACAUUAACUGGAACAUGACGUAAAACAAGGUGCAAAAGUUUCAUGGCCUAAAUAAAGAGUAUUGAAAUCAUACAGGGCCUAUUCUGUUAUUACUGUGAAACUAUGUGAGAAAUCAAACCCAAAAGGUACCUGAAAAUAACCCACAUAAUUUCAAGUGCAAUAAAUAAAUAAAUGUUUUUGUCAGCAGGUUCUUGCCUGUCCUGCUCCUGGCAAUUCAGGGGUUGGGAACCUGGGUCUCCAAAGAGUUCCUGUAGGGCGAUAAUUGGAUGCAGAACAUUUCCUGCCAUUAGAAUAAUUGAACCAUCUUAAGAAAACAAGAAAUUUUUUUCUGGAUUUCUCUCUGUACUGCAAACUAAAAUAAGAAGUACAAAACUAUCCCUGGGGAAAAUGUGCCAUUUUACAGUGACAUCCCGUAUAACAACUUUUCCUCUUUGUUCUUCAUUCAGCUGGAUGGCCAAACUCCACAUGGCUCGGUUCCAGAGACACAAGGUCAAAACCUACAGUCUGAGACUGGAGGACUAAGAUUUUACCACGUACUGUGAGUGUUAAUACCUGAUGUCCACGUGCAGCUUCUUUACUCUGGUUGACAGAGAGCAGACAGUGCAUCCAGAUGGGCCCCAAGCAAACUUGCUGCCCAACAGCACUGAGACCACGUCUCCAACCCGUGGGUGAGAAGCCCUGCCCAGGACGGUGCCCACGGGAGCCUCCUCACAAGGUUUUUUCUCAGGAAUCCUGCAGAGAUGGAUACUGAAAGUUGAAAACAUGCUGUUUAAUACCUACAAUCAACAUUCCCCCUUCCUGAGUCCCAAUUA
rnacentral:lncRNA from 1 species